rnacentral:rRNA from 1 species
CUGCUGCCUCCCGUAGGAGUCUGGGCCGUGUCUCAGUCCCAAUGUGGCCGGUCAACCUCUCAGUCCGGCUACUGAUCGUCGCCUUGGUGGGCCGUUACCCCGCCAACCAGCUAAUCAGACGCGAGUCCAUCUCAGAGCGAUAAAUCUUUGGCAGCCAGAGCCAUGCGGCCCAACUGCAUUAUGCGGUAUUAGCACAUCUUUCGAUGUGUUAUUCCCCACUCCAAGGCAGGUUACU